CCAGGCUUUGAUGAGAGAACCCAUGAGGAAAUGGCAUGGAGAAGUGAAACGAAGUUCCCAAGUCCAUGCCAGAAGCGGGGGGGAAAGGCGAAACGCGCGUUCAGAGGUGGCGCGGGGGUUGCCGUACACGUGUCUCCCUCUCAAGCCAGGUCUCUCUCACCUGCGACGGCGUGGAUGGGCCAGAGCCAGGCCGAACAUGCCAAGCUCUUUAAGACGCUCCUCAGAGGGAUUCUUCAUGGUUUCCAGACCUUUGACCAUUUUAGUGGCCCUCUUCCUCUGGACACCUUCCAGCUUGGAGUCAAUACCUCUUUUGAACUGUGAUGCCCAGAACUGGACACAGUAAUAGGCCAAAAGGCCACCUUACUGAGAUCCGAACCCUCUUUAUGGCACGCAACGAGUCACUUCUUUCCAAGGUGAAGAGGAGGAUCCAUCCUUUGGGUUCAGUCGAUUAACCAAUUACAGAUCCGUCUAACAGUAGCCUUGCCUAGCCCACAUUGGACGGGUUUGCUUGCAAGGUCAGGUCAGGUUGUGGCGCAGUUUGUUAGUAGCCCACUGCAAUAAAUCACUACUGACCAAGAAGUCAUGAUAUCGAAGCCAGCCCGGGUCAGAAUAAGCUCCCGAACAUUAAUAGCCUAGCUUGCUGUUGAGCUAAGCAGCUCAAAUGACAGCUGAAUCCGUCAAGUAGGAAAUUUAUGUACUGCUUUAUGCAGGGAGGCUAAUUUAACUAAUUUAUGACACCAUAAAAACUUCCAGCAGUGUGCAGAAGAAUGAGGAAAUACUACAUCAAGGACUUGGUGUCAUAAGUGGACGAUGAAGCGGCAGCUCCCCCUGUGGCCGGAAUUGAGCAUACCCUCAUGAAGCCGGAAGCUGGGAACAUGUUAAAUUGCCUCUGUGUCUGUCUAUAUAUGUCGUUUGUCUAAUGACAUUGAAUGUUUGCCAUGUGUAUGUGCAUUGUGAUCUGCCCUGAGUCUCCUUUGGGGUGAGAAAGAAGGGUGGAAUAUUAAUACUGUAAGUAAAUAAAUAAUUUUUUUAAAAGGGGGACCUUGU
rnacentral:lncRNA from 11 species